rnacentral:rRNA from 1 species
GACGAACGCUGGCGGCGUGCUUAACACAUGCAAGUCGAACGGAAAGGCCCUGCUUUUGUGGGGUGCUCGAGUGGCGAACGGGUGAGUAACACGUGAGUAACCUGCCCUUGACUUUGGGAUAACUUCAGGAAACUGGGGCUAAUACCGGAUAGGAGCUCCUGCUGCAUGGUGGGGGUUGGAAAGUUUCGGCGGUUGGGGAUGGACUCGCGGCUUAUCAGCUUGUUGGUGGGGUAGUGGCUUACCAAGGCUUUGACGGGUAGCCGGCCUGAGAGGGUGACCGGCCACAUUGGGACUGAGAUACGGCCCAGACUCCUACGGGAGGCAGCAGUGGGCAAUAUUGCACAAUGGGCGGAAGCCUGAUGCAGCAACGCCGCGUGCGGGAUGACGGCCUUCGGGUUGUAACCCGCUUUCGCCUGUGACGAAGCGAGAGUGACGGUAAUGGGUGAAGAAGCACCGGCUAACUACGUG